rnacentral:rRNA from 1 species
GUAGGUGGCAAGCGUUGUCCGGGAAUUAUUGGGGCGUAAAGCGCGCGCAGGCGGUUCUUUAAGUCUGAUGUGAAAGCCCACGGGCUCAACCGUGGAGGGUCAUUGGAAACUGGAGAACUUGAGUACAGAAGAGGAAAGCGGAAUUCCACGUGUAGCGGUGAGAUGCGUAGAGAUGUGGAGGAACACCAGUGGCGAAGGCGGCUUUCUGGUCUGUAACUGACGCUGAGGCGCGAAAGCGUGGGGAGCAAACAGGAUUAGAUACCCUGGUAGUCCACGCCGUAAACGAUGAGUGCUAAGUGUUAGGGGGUUUCCGCCCCUUAGUGCUGCAGCUAACGCAUUAAGCACUCCGCCUGGGGAGUACGGCCGCAAAGGCUG